GACGAACCGAGCGAACGUUAUUCGGAAUCACUGGGCUUAAAGGGCGCGUAGGCGGGCGGCCAAGUCAGGGGUGAAAGCCCCCAGCGUCAACUGGGGAAGUGCCUCUGAUACUGGUCAUCUCGAGGGAGAUAGGGGCGUGCGGAACUUCCGGUGGAGCGGUGAAAUGCGUAGAUAUCGGAAGGAACACCGGUGGCGAAAGCGGCGCGCUGGAUCUCUUCUGACGCUGAGGCGCGAAAGCCAGGGGAGCGGAACGGG
rnacentral:rRNA from 1 species